AUUGAACGCUGGCGGCAGGCCUAACACAUGCAAGUCGAACGGUAACAGGAAGAAGCUUGCUUCUUUGCUGACGAGUGGCGGACGGGUGAGUAAUGUCUGGGAAACUGCCUGAUGGAGGGGGAUAACUACUGGAAACGGUAGCUAAUACCGCAUAACGUCGCAAGACCAAAGAGGGGGACCUUCGGGCCUCUUGCCAUCGGAUGUGCCCAGAUGGGAUUAGCUAGUAGGUGGGGUAACGGCUCACCUAGGCGACGAUCCCUAGCUGGUCUGAGAGGAUGACCAGCCACACUGGAACUGAGACACGGUCCAGACUCCUACGGGAGGCAGCAGUGGGGAAUAUUGCACAAUGGGCGCAAGCCUGAUGCAGCCAUGCCGCGUGUAUGAAGAAGGCCUUCGGGUUGUAAAGUACUUUCAGCGGGGAGGAAGGGAGUAAAGUUAAUACCUUUGCUCAUUGACGUACCCGCAGAA
rnacentral:rRNA from 1 species